AUGCAUGUGUGUCAAGAGUGGAGGUGUUAUGCAUGUGUGUCAAGAGUGCAGGUGUUAUGCAUGUGUGUCAAGAGUGGAGGUGUUAUGCAUGUGUGUCAAGAGUGCAGGUGUUAUGCAUGUGUGUCAAGAGUGGAGGUGUUAUGCAUGUGUGUCAAGAGUGCAGGUGUUAUGCAUGUGUGUCAAGAGUGGAGGUGUUAUGCAUGUGUGUCAAGAGUGCAGGUGUUAUGCAUGUGUGUCAAGAGUGCAGGUGUUAUGCAUGUGUGUCAAGAGUGCAGGUGUUAUGCAUGUGUGUCAAGAGUGGAGGUGUUAUGCAUGUGUGUCAAGAGUGCAGGUGUUAUGCAUGUGUGUCAAGAGUG